rnacentral:rRNA from 1 species
CUACGGGCGGCAGCAGUGGGGAAUCUUGGACAAUGGGCGCAAGCCUGAUCCAGCCAUGCCGCGUGAGUGAUGAAGGCCCUAGGGUUGUAAAACUCUUUCGUGGGGGACGAUAAUGACGGUACCCCAAGAAGAGGCUCCGGCUAACUUCGUGCCAGCAGCCGCGGUAAUACGAAGGGGGCUAGCGUUGUUCGGAUUUACUGGGCGUAAAGCGCGUGUAGGCGGGCUGGAAAGUUGGGGGUGAAAUCCCGAGGCUCAACCUCGGAACUGCCUCCAAAACUUCCAGCCUGGACUCAAGUAGAGGCAAGUGGAAUUGCGAGUGUAGAGGUGAAAUUCGUAGAUAUUCGCAGGAACACCAGUGGCGAAGGCGACUUGCUGGACUUGUAGUGACGCUGAGACGCGAAAGCGUGGGGAGCAAACAGGAUUAGAUACCCUUGUAGUC